rnacentral:tRNA from 7 species
GCGCGAGUGGCGGAAUUGGUAGACGCCCCAGGUUUAGGUCCUGGUGCCUUCGGGCGUGAGGGUUCGAGUCCCUUCUCGCGUACCA